CCCUUAGAUGUUCUGGGCCGCACGCGCGCUACACUGACUGGUGCAACAAGUGUCUGACCUUGGCUCGAGAGGCCUGGGCAACCUUUGAACGCCAGUCGUGCUGGGGAUAGAUUCUUGCAAUUAUUAAUCUUCAACGAGGAAUUCCUAGUAAACGCAAGUCAUCAGCUUGCAUUGAUUACGUCCCUGCCCUUUGUACACACCGCCCGUCGCACCUACCGAUUGAAUGGUCCGGUGAAAUCUCGGGACGGCGGCUUGGUCGCUUGCGUCCGACUGCUGAAACUUGAUUAAACCAUNUNAUUUAGNGGAAGGUGAANUCGUANCA
rnacentral:rRNA from 1 species